GGUUAAGCGACUAAGCGUACACGGUGGAUGCCCUGGCAGUCAGAGGCGAUGAAGGACGUGCUAAUCUGCGAUAAGCGUCGGUGAGGUGAUAUGAACCGUUAUAACCGGCGAUUUCCGAAUGGGGAAACCCAGUGUGUUUCGACACACUAUCAUUAACUGAAUCCAUAGGUUAAUGAGGCGAACCGGGGGAACUGAAACAUCUAAGUACCCCGAGGAAAAGAAAUCAACCGAGAUUCCCCCAGUAGCGGCGAGCGAACGGGGAGGAGCCCAGAGCCUGAAUCAGUGUGUGUGUUAGUGGAAGCGUCUGGAAAGGCGCGCGAUACAGGGUGACAGCCCCGUACACAAAAAUGCACAUAUUGUGAGCUCGAUGAGUAGGGCGGGACACGUGGUAUCCUGUCUGAAUAUGGGGGGACCAUCCUCCAAGGCUAAAUACUCCUGACUGACCGAUAGUGAACCAGUACCGUGAGGGAAAGGCGAAAAGAACCCCGGCGAGGGGAGUGAAAAAGAACCUGAAACCGUGUACGUACAAGCAGUGGGAGCCUCUUUAUGGGGUGACUGCGUACCUUUUGUAUAAUGGGUCAGCGACUUAUAUUCUGUAGCAAGGUUAACCGAAUAGGGGAGCCGAAGGGAAACCGAGUCUUAACUGGGCGUUAAGUUGCAGGGUAUAGACCCGAAACCCGGUGAUCUAGCCAUGGGCAGGUUGAAGGUUGGGUAACACUAACUGGAGGACCGAACCGACUAAUGUUGAAAAAUUAGCGGAUGACUUGUGGCUGGGGGUGAAAGGCCAAUCAAACCGGGAGAUAGCUGGUUCUCCCCGAAAGCUAUUUAGGUAGCGCCUCGUGAAUUCAUCUCCGGGGGUAGAGCACUGUUUCGGCAAGGGGGUCAUCCCGACUUACCAACCCGAUGCAAACUGCGAAUACCGGAGAAUGUUAUCACGGGAGACACACGGCGGGUGCUAACGUCCGUCGUGAAGAGGGAAACAACCCAGACCGCCAGCUAAGGUCCCAAAGUCAUGGUUAAGUGGGAAACGAUGUGGGAAGGCCCAGACAGCCAGGAUGUUGGCUUAGAAGCAGCCAUCAUUUAAAGAAAGCGUAAUAGCUCACUGGUCGAGUCGGCCUGCGCGGAAGAUGUAACGGGGCUAAACCAUGCACCGAAGCUGCGGCAGCGACACUAUGUGUUGUUGGGUAGGGGAGCGUUCUGUAAGCCUGUGAAGGUGGCCUGUGAGGGUUGCUGGAGGUAUCAGAAGUGCGAAUGCUGACAUAAGUAACGAUAAAGCGGGUGAAAAGCCCGCUCGCCGGAAGACCAAGGGUUCCUGUCCAACGUUAAUCGGGGCAGGGUGAGUCGACCCCUAAGGCGAGGCCGAAAGGCGUAGUCGAUGGGAAACAGGUUAAUAUUCCUGUACUUGGUGUUACUGCGAAGGGGGGACGGAGAAGGCUAUGUUGGCCGGGCGACGGUUGUCCCGGUUUAAGCGUGUAGGCUGGUUUUCCAGGCAAAUCCGGAAAACCAAGGCUGAGGCGUGAUGACGAGGCACUACGGUGCUGAAGCGACAAAUGCCCUGCUUCCAGGAAAAGCCUCUAAGCAUCAGGUAACAUCAAAUCGUACCCCAAACCGACACAGGUGGUCAGGUAGAGAAUACCAAGGCGCUUGAGAGAACUCGGGUGAAGGAACUAGGCAAAAUGGUGCCGUAACUUCGGGAGAAGGCACGCUGAUAUGUAGGUGAAGCGACUUGCUCGUGGAGCUGAAAUCAGUCGAAGAUACCAGCUGGCUGCAACUGUUUAUUAAAAACACAGCACUGUGCAAACACGAAAGUGGACGUAUACGGUGUGACGCCUGCCCGGUGCCGGAAGGUUAAUUGAUGGGGUUAGCGGUAACGCGAAGCUCUUGAUCGAAGCCCCGGUAAACGGCGGCCGUAACUAUAACGGUCCUAAGGUAGCGAAAUUCCUUGUCGGGUAAGUUCCGACCUGCACGAAUGGCGUAAUGAUGGCCAGGCUGUCUCCACCCGAGACUCAGUGAAAUUGAACUCGCUGUGAAGAUGCAGUGUACCCGCGGCAAGACGGAAAGACCCCGUGAACCUUUACUAUAGCUUGACACUGAACAUUGAGCCUUGAUGUGUAGGAUAGGUGGGAGGCUUUGAAGUGUGGACGCCAGUCUGCAUGGAGCCGACCUUGAAAUACCACCCUUUAAUGUUUGAUGUUCUAACGUUGGCCCGUAAUCCGGGUUGCGGACAGUGUCUGGUGGGUAGUUUGACUGGGGCGGUCUCCUCCUAAAGAGUAACGGAGGAGCACGAAGGUUGGCUAAUCCUGGUCGGACAUCAGGAGGUUAGUGCAAUGGCAUAAGCCAGCUUGACUGCGAGCGUGACGGCGCGAGCAGGUGCGAAAGCAGGUCAUAGUGAUCCGGUGGUUCUGAAUGGAAGGGCCAUCGCUCAACGGAUAAAAGGUACUCCGGGGAUAACAGGCUGAUACCGCCCAAGAGUUCAUAUCGACGGCGGUGUUUGGCACCUCGAUGUCGGCUCAUCACAUCCUGGGGCUGAAGUAGGUCCCAAGGGUAUGGCUGUUCGCCAUUUAAAGUGGUACGCGAGCUGGGUUUAGAACGUCGUGAGACAGUUCGGUCCCUAUCUGCCGUGGGCGCUGGAGAACUGAGGGGGGCUGCUCCUAGUACGAGAGGACCGGAGUGGACGCAUCACUGGUGUUCGGGUUGUCAUGCCAAUGGCACUGCCCGGUAGCUAAAUGCGGAAGAGAUAAGUGCUGAAAGCAUCUAAGCACGAAACUUGCCCCGAGAUGAGUUCUCCCUGACUCCUUGAGAGUCCUGAAGGAACGUUGAAGACGACGACGUUGAUAGGCCGGGUGUGUAAGCGCAGCGAUGCGUUGAGCUAACCGGUACUAAUGAACCGUGAGG
rnacentral:rRNA from 1 species